UACGUAGGGGGCUAGCGUUGCUCGGAAUUAUUGGGCGUAAAGAGCUCGUAGGCGGCUUGUCGCGUCGGAUGUGAAAGCCCGGGGCUUAACUCCGGGUCUGCAUUCGAUACGGGGAGGCUAGAGUUCGGUAGGGGAGAUCGGAAUUCCUGGUGUAGCGGUGAAAUGCGCAGAUAUCAGGAGGAACACCGGUGGCGAAGGCGAAUCUCUGGACCGAUACUGACGCUGAGGAGCGAAAGCGUGGGGAGCGAACAGG
rnacentral:rRNA from 1 species